CCGGAUGGCUUUGGCUGCAACCUUGCUCCGGUCCGCUAACAGCAUCAGCAUAUCUGAUCUGACAUCCGGGUCACCGCUUAUUCAGGCCCCGUUCGGCAGCACCCGGAGGCCCGGAACGAGGCCCAAUCCGGGCGGAUUGGGACGGCCCGGAACGAAAUCACCUGCGACCUGGAAUACCUGUUCGUUUCGGCCUGGCCCGGGAAUGAAGCCGGCCCGGUUUGGCUCCUCCCCUUGUUUCCAUCGCCUGGAAUGGAUCCAGGAGCCCUACCCCCGGCUCCAAUCCGUUCCCCGAUCCUUCUCUCGCGCGCGUGGCGGCGGCGCGAGGUUGAGGCGACGGCGACGGCCCGGCGGCGCGACACGCUCUCCGCUGCCUUCUCGCCGAUCUCGUCGAAGUAGCAUGUUGGCUAACUGGAGGCAUUAUGAAGUCGAGUGACCAGGAUUUGGUGGAUGGGCUCUCUACUGACCCCUAGUGUUAAACUAUGUUGUUUUAAUUUAUCUGCUUCAAGUUAAUGUUUUGAAAUUCAACCAAUUUAGCUUGGAUGUUUUUCUUGCUUAAGUUCUGCCGAACUCAUGGUACUGAUCAUUCGAUUUUUAGACCGGGGGAGAGCAUCAUACUAGCAGUAGUAUAUCACAUGUUUGGUUAGCAUCAUAAGAUUGAAAUGAUGGUCGAUUCAAGUUAGUUUUUUGUAUUUUUAUUUUUAUUGGGUGGUAUGUAAUCAAUGGAUGUUCAUUCGGCGUGAACUCAUGGUACUGAUCAAAAUAUGAAUACAGUUGAAAUGAUGUCGCUUGAAA